rnacentral:tRNA from 1 species
ACUCUUUUAGUAUAAACCAGUACGGCCGACUUCCAAUCAGCUAGUUUCGGUAUUAACCCGAAAAAGAGUA